rnacentral:snRNA from 1 species
GUUCCACUUGGGCAGCACAGUCUUGAAAUUGGAGCAAUUCAGAGAAGAGUAGCAUGGUCCCUGCAAACUUGUGAAGCAUUCCAUAUUUUU